CAGCCAUACAUUUAAAGAGUGCGUAAUAGCUCACUAGUCGAGAGAACCUGCGCCGAAAAUAAUCGGGGCUAAAACACACCACCGAAGCUACGGAUUUCCUGCUUAAGGUAGGAAGUGGUAGAGGAGCAUACUGCAAGGACGAAGCCUGAUUGAGAGAGAAGGUGGACGAAGCAGUAGAGAGAAUGCCGGAAUGAGUAGCGAGAUAUAUGUGAGAACCAUAUAGGCCGAAUAUCUAAGGAUUCCUGAGUGAAGCUAAUCUGCUCAGGGUAAGUCGGGACCUAAGGCGAGGACGAGAGUCGUAGUCGAUGGACAACUGGUAGAGAUUCCAGUACUAUGUAUAAUCAGAACUGUGGGGACGCAGGAGGAUAGAUGGACCGCGGAAAGGGAAGACGCGGCCAAGUACAAAGUCAAGUUAGGUAGGCAAAUCCGCCAAACGAUGAUGAAGUACGACGGGGACUGAAAGAAAGUAAGGAAGUCAUUGAAUCCACACUGCCGAGAAAAGCCGCUAUAGUGUUAUACAUACCCGUACCGUAAACCGACACAGGUAGAUGAGGAGAAAAUCCACAGGCCGACGGGAGAAGUGUUGUUAAGGAACUCGGCAAAAUGACCCCGUAACUUAGGGAGAAGGGGAGCCACGAGAGUGGUCGCAGAAAAGAGGCUCAAGCAACUGUUUAGCAAAAACACAGGUCUAUGCGAAACCGAAAGGUGAAGUAUAUGGGCUGACGCCUGCCCGGUGCUGGAAGGUUAAGAGGAGAGGUUAGCCGCAAGGCGAAGCUUUGAAUUCAAGCCCCAGUAAACGGCGGCCGUAACUAUAACGGUCCUAAGGUAGCGAAAUUCCUUGUCAGGUAAGUUCUGACCCGCACGAAAGGUGUAAUGAUUUGAGCACUGUCUCGACAACACGCCCGGUGAAAUUGAAGAACCAGUGAAGAUACUGGUUACCCGCACCAGGACGGAAAGACCCCAUGGAGCUUUACUGCAGCCUGAUACUGGGAUUCGAUGAUGCAUGUACAGGAUAGGUGGGAGACAGAGAAGGUAGGACGCCAGUCUUGCCGGAGUCGCCGGUGGGAUACCUCUCUUGCAUCAUUGGAUUUCUAACCUGCAUCCGUGAACCGGAUGAGGGACAAUGUCAGGCGGGCAGUUUGACUGGGGCGGUCGCCUCC
rnacentral:rRNA from 1 species